AGUGAACGCUGGCGGUAGGCCUAACACAUGCAAGUCGAACGGCAGCACAGUAAGAGCUUGCUCUUACGGGUGGCGAGUGGCGGACGGGUGAGGAAUACAUCGGAAUCUACUUUUUCGUGGGGGAUACGUUGGGAAAACUAACGCAAUACCCCAUUAGGCCUAACGGUUAAAACAAGGGGACCUUGGAACCUUGGCGAUUGAAUGAGCCGAUGUCGGAUUAGCUAGUUGGCGGGGUAAAGGCCCACCAAGGCGACGAUCCGUAGCUGGUCUGAGAGGAUGAUCAGCCACACUGGAACUGAGACACGGUCCAGACUCCUACGGGAGGCAGCAGUGGGGAAUAUUGGACAAUGGGCGCAAGCCUGAUCCAGCCAUACCGCGUGGGUGAAGAAGGCCUUCGGGUUGUAAAGCCCUUUUGUUGGGAAAGAAAAGCAGCAGGUUAAUACCCCGCUGUUCUGACGGUACCCAAAGAAUAAGCACCGGCUAACUUCGUG
rnacentral:rRNA from 1 species